CGAAUACUCCCGCCCGGCGACCGGCGCACGGGUGGAGUAACAACGUAUGAAACCUAGCCCGUACGCAGGGGGAGUAAGCGGAAGAAAUUCCGUCUAAUACCGCGUAACAACCCGAGGAGGCAUCUCCUCGGGUUUAAAGGAAGCGAUUCCGGCUACGGAUGGUCAUGCGUCGCAUUAGCUAGUUGGCGGGGUAACGGCCCACCAAGGCGACGAUGCGUAGGGGUUCUGAGAGGAAGGUCCCCCACCACUGGUACUGAGACACGGACCAGACUCCUACGGGAGGCAGCAG
rnacentral:rRNA from 1 species